UAGUGUUAGAUGCAUAGGGAGUUAUUAAGAUUAUUAGCAAGCCGUUGGGUCGAAUGGUUUUUUUUUUUGUCUAAGCGUAACGAUCUGCCAGCUAAUACCGGCCAUAGCUGAUUUAGCAGAUUCAAUUUUACCAUUUAGCAGUCAGUCUUUGAUAUGUGGAAACAGUCCAACUGAGAGUUGAAGUCUGGAUAAGGACGCAGAUCGUAUGGUCGCUUGUCGACUGACGACAGAUCUUUCAAAUGUCUGCCCUAUCAACUAUUGAUGGUAGUGUAGAGGACUACCAUGGUUGCGACGGGUAACGGGGAAUCAGGGUUCGAUUCCGGAGAGGGAGCCUGAGAAAUGGCUACCACAUCCAAGGAAGGCAGCAGGCGCGUAAAUUACCCAAUCCCAGUACGGGGAGGUAGUGA
rnacentral:ncRNA from 1 species